GGGGGGGGGGGGGGGGGGGCCGGGGGGGGGGGGGGCGAGCGAGGGCGGCGGGCCUAGCGGCGGACGGGGGAGUAACGCGGGGGAACGUGCCCUUUGCUGCGGAAUAGCCCGGGGAAACUGGGAGUAAGACCGGAUGAGCCCUCUGGGGGAAAGAUUUAUCGGCGAAGUAUCGGCCCGCGUUGGCUUAGGUAGUUGGUGGGGUAAUGGCCUACCAAGCCGACGAUCCAUAGCUGGUUUGAGAGGAUGAUCCGCCACACUGGGACUGAGACACGGCCCAGACUCCUACGGGAGGCCGCAGUGGGGGAUCUUAGACAAUGGGGGAAACCCUGAUCUAGCCAUGCCGCGUGAGCGAUGAAGGCCUUAGGGUUGUAAAGCUCUUUCAGCUGGGAAGAUAAUGACGGUAGCAGCAGAAGAAGCCCGGGCUAACUCCGUG
rnacentral:rRNA from 1 species